UUAUUGACCUGUAAAUUCCAGCUGCCGCCCUCCGUGACGCUAGAGCAGCUGGAACACAAGAUGGCGGCGUGCGGCGACGUGCAGUUCGUCAACAUCGUGGGCUCUGGCACCGCCUUCGUGCGGUUCCACAACGAGAUGGGCGCUAGGAGGUGUAUUCAGUUUUACGAUAAUUCCAUCGUAGAUGGAAACCGCAUUCAAGUGAAUUUAGCAUAAAAUAUUCGGUCCACUAUUUCCAGGAGUGCAGAAGAUCAUAAGAACAGU